rnacentral:rRNA from 1 species
CUAACAAGGAUUCCCCUAGUAACGGCGAGUGAAGCGGGAAGAGCUCAAGCUUAAAAUCUCCGUGCAAGUUUUGCACGGCGAAUUGUAGUCUAUAGAGGCGUGGUCAGCGUGGGCGCUUGGGGCAAGUUCCUUGGAAGAGGACAGCAUGGAGGGUGAUACUCCCGUUCAUCCCUGAGUUGCUCGUGCGUACGACCCGUUUUCUUUGAGUCGCGUUGUUUGGGAAUGCAGCGCAAAGUAGGUGGUAAAUUCCAUCUAAAGCUAAAUAUUGGUGCGAGACCGAUAGCGAACAAGUACCGUGAGGGAAAGAUGAAAAGAACUUUGAAAAGAGAGUUAAAGAGUACCUGAAACUGCUGAAAGGGAACCGAAUCGUUUCCAGUGUCUAUAAUCCGUGGCAUAUUUCAUUGGCGAGUGUGCGCGUGCGUGUGCUGUGGCAGCGGUCUUUAUGGCUGCGCUCGGCGUGUGUGCUGUGUGUGCUUGCUGGUGCCCUGUGCUGCGGUGGGACGUCAAGGUCAGUUCGUAUGCUGCGGGAAAUGGCUGCCGAGGAGGUAGGGCUUACGCUCCGCGUUUGUCUGUUAUAUCUUGGUGGACGAGUCGUCGCGGUUGGGACUGAGGUGCCUACAACGUGCUUUUGAGUGGGUUUGUGUCUCCGUGUGCGCCGUGUGCGGAUAGCUUGCUAUGCGUGUGUGGUUGUGUGUGGAUUGAUGCGGGCCUUAACUUGUUGCCGUUCGGGACGUUGACGAAAUGGAGCGAUCCGACCCGUCUUGAAACACGGACCAAGGAGUCUAACAUGUGUGCAAGUGUUAGGGUGUGGAAACCCCAGCGCGAAAUGAAAGUGAAGGGCAGCGCAAGUUGUCUGAGGUAGGAAACGUUGCGGGCUUCGGUCUGCGGCGUGGCACUAUCGACCGAUCAUGAACCUUCGUGGUGAAAGAUUUGAGUUUGAGCACAUAUGUUGGUACCCGAAAGAUGGUGAACUAUGCCUGAGUAGGGUGAAGCCAGGGGAAACUCUGGUGGAAGCUCGUAGCGAUUCUGACGUGCAAAUCGAUCGUCAAACUUGGGUAUAGGGGCGAAAGACUAAUCGAACCAUCUAGUAGCUGGUUCCCUCCGAAAUUUCCCUCAGGAUAGCAGCAACUUAUUUACGAUAGUUUUAUGAGGUAAAGCGAAUGAUUAGAGGAUUCGGGGAAGAAACUUCCUCGACCUAUUCUCAAACUUUAAAUCUGUAAGACCUGCAGGUUUCUUAAUUGAACUUGUGGAUGUGAAUAUCAA